rnacentral:rRNA from 1 species
AUUGAACGCUGGCGGCAUGCCUUACACAUGCAAGUCGAACGGCAGCACGGGUGCUUGCACCUGGUGGCGAGUGGCGAACGGGUGAGUAAUAUAUCGGAACGUACCGUAUUGUGGGGGAUAACGCAGCGAAAGCUGUGCUAAUACCGCAUAAUCCCUAAGGGGGAAAGCGGGGGACCGUAAGGCCUCGCGCAAUUAGAGCGGCCGAUACCUGAUUAGCUAGUUGGUGAGGUAAAGGCUCACCAAGGCAACGAUCAGUAGCUGGUCUGAGAGGACGAUCAGCCACACUGGGACUGAGACACGGCCCAGACUCCUACGGGAGGCAGCAGUGGGGAAUUUUGGACAAUGGGGGCAACCCUGAUCCAGCAAUGCCGCGUGAGUGAAGAAGGCCUUCGGGUUGUAAAGCUCUUUUGUCAGGGAAGAAACAGCAGCUCUAACACAGUAUGCGGAUGACGGUACCUGAAGAAUAAGCACCGGCUAACUACGUGCCAGCAGCCGCCGUAA